UCCUCCCUCUUUCUUCGUGCCUAAUACAUGCAAGUAGAACGCUGAAGCUUGGUGCUUGCACCGAGCGGAUGAGUUGCGCACGGGUGAGUAACGCGUAGGUAACCUGCCUGGUAGCGGGGGAUAACUAUUGGAAACGAUAGCUAAUACCGCAUAAGAGUAGAUGUUGCAUGACAUUUGCUUAAAAGGUGCAAUUGCAUCACUACCAGAUGGACCCGCGUUGUAUUAGCUAGUUGGUGAGGUAACGGCUCACCAAGGCAACGAUACAUAGCCGACCUGAGAGGGUGAUCGGCCACACUGGGACUGAGACACGGCCCAGACUCCUACGGGAGGCAGCAGUAGGGAAUCUUCGGCAAUGGACGGAAGUCUGACCGAGCAACGCCGCGUGAGUGAAGAAGGGUUUCGGAUCGUAAAGCUCUGUUGUAAGAGAAGAACGAGUGUGAGAGUGGAAAGUUCACACUGUGACGGUAUCUUACCAGAAAGGGACGGCUAACUACGUG
rnacentral:rRNA from 1 species